rnacentral:rRNA from 1 species
UACGAAGGGGGCUAGCGUUGCUCGGAAUCACUGGGCGUAAAGCGCACGUAGGCGGAUUGUAAGUCAGGGGUGAAAUCCUGGAGCUCAACUCCAGAACUGCCUUUGAUACUGGCGAUCUUGAGUCCGGGAGAGGUGAGUGGAACUGCGAGUGUAGAGGUGAAAUUCGUAGAUAUUCGGAAGAACACCAGUGGCGAAGGCGGGCUCACUGGCCCGGUAUGACG